rnacentral:rRNA from 1 species
GACGAACGCUGGCGGCGUGCUUAACACAUGCAAGUCGAGCGGUAAGGCCCUUUCGGGGGUACACGAGCGGCGAACGGGUGAGUAACACGUGGGUGACCUGCCCUCAGCUCUGGGAUAAGCCUGGGAAACUGGGUCUAAUACUGGAUAUGACUCCACGGUGCAUGUCGUGGGGUGGAAAGCCUUGUGCGGCUGAGGAUGGGCCCGCGGCCUAUCAGCUUGUUGGUGGGGUGAUGGCCUACCAAGGCGACGACGGUAGCCGGCCUGAGAGGGCGACCGGCCACACUGGGACUGAGACACGGCCCAGACUCCUACGGGAGGCGAGCAGU